UGGGGAAUAUUGGACAAUGGGCGAAAGCCUGAUCCAGCCAUGCCGCGUGUGUGAAGAAGGCCUUUUGGUUGUAAAGCACUUUAAGUGGGGAGGAAAAGCUUGUGGUUAAUACCCAUAAGCCCUGACGUUACCCACAGAAUAAGCACCGGCUAACUCUGUGCCAGCAGCCGCGGUAAUACAGAGGGUGCAAGCGUUAAUCGGAAUUACUGGGCGUAAAGCGCGCGUAGGUGGUUAUUUAAGUCAGAUGUGAAAGCCCCGGGCUUAACCUGGGAACUGCAUCUGAUACUGGAUAACUAGAGUAGGUGAGAGGGGAGUAGAAUUCCAGGUGUAGCGGUGAAAUGCGUAGAGAUCUGGAGGAAUACCGAUGGCGAAGGCAGCUCCCUGGCAUCAUACUGACACUGAGGUGCGAAAGCGUGGGUAGCAAACAGGAUUAGAUACCCUGGUAGUCCACGCCGUAAACGAUGUCUACCAGUCGUUGGGUCUUUUAAAGACUUAGUGACGCAGUUAGCGCAAUAAGUAGACCGCCUGGGGAGUACGGCCGCAAGGUUA
rnacentral:rRNA from 1 species